UACGGAGGAUCCAAGCGUUAUCCGGAAUCAUUGGGUUUAAAGGGUCCGCAGGCGGCCUGUUAAGUCAGAGGUGAAAGCCAACAGCUCAACUGUUGAACUGCCUUUGAUACUGGUUAUCUUGAAUCAUUGUGAAGUGGUUAGAAUAUGUAGUGUAGCGGUGAAAUGCAUAGAUAUGAUGUAGAACACCGAUUGCGAAGGCAGCUUACUAGACCAACAUUGACGCUCAUGCACGAAAGCGUGGGGAGCAAACAGG
rnacentral:rRNA from 1 species